rnacentral:rRNA from 1 species
AUUGAACGCUGGCGGCAGGCUUAACACAUGCAAGUCGAACGAGUGGCGUACUGGUGAGUAAUGCAUUGGAAUCUAGCUUAUUGAGGGGUCUAACUACGGGAAACUGUCGCUAAUACCGCGUACCCUAGGAUGAGCCCAAGUGGGAUUAGGUAGUUGGUGAGGUAAAGGCUCACCAAGCGGACGAUCUCUAGCUGGUCUGAGAGGAUGACCAGCCAAACUGGGACUGAGACACGGCCCAGACUCCUACGGGAGGCAGCAGUGGGGAAUAUUGCGCAAUGGGGGCAACCUGACGCAGCCAUGCCGAGUGAAUGAAGAAGGCCUUCGGGUUGUAAAGUGAUUUAGGUAGCGAGGCGUUAACUACAGAAGAAGCACCGGCUAACUCCGUGCCAGCAGCCGCGGUAAUUC